rnacentral:rRNA from 1 species
GACGAACCGUGCGAACGUUGUUCGGAAUCACUGGGCUUAAAGGGCGCGUAGGCGGUCAUUAAAGUCAGGGGUGAAAUCCCCCAGCUCAACUGGGGAACUGCCUUUGAUACUGAAUGUCUCGAGUAAGGUAGGGGCAUGCGGAACUGAUGGUGGAGCGGUGAAAUGUGUUGAUAUCAUCAGGAACUCCGGUGGCGAAGGCGGCAUGCUGGACCUUCACUGACGCUGAGGCGCGAAAGCUAGGGUAGCGAACGGG